UGCAAUCCAAUAAAUCAUCAAGAAACAAGAUGCUUUUGAUUAUAUGUAAUCACUCUAUUGUUCCAUAGAGUUGAUCCGUGUGGAGAAAACUGAGUAAAUGUAAUUUUCCAAUAUUGAAGACUCUGUUCAGUAUGUUGUUGUUUUCACAGGCACGCAUUCAAUACUUGAGCUCUCAGAUACAGAAUAAGCUGCUUGAGAGAAUCAAGACAUUACAGCAUCUCCUUGAUGAAUUCAGACGGCAGGUAACCAAACUUCUGCAGGACACUGUAAACAAAUGCAUGGAACGUCUAACUUUAAUGUGCAGUAUGUUUUUAAUUUGGUUUCUCUUCACAACUUUCUCUCUGCAGUCCCGGGACAGUGAGUUACUCCAGGAGCUGAGCUCGGUUCCCCUUCAUGUUUCCCAGCGAGCAGAGGCUCUGCUGGUGCACAGAGGCAGAGCUUUGUUGGCUCUGUGGCAGCACAGCCCCCCGCGUCAUAUUGUGACCGACAGCCUGCCACGCUUUCUCAGCCUGCUGCAGCACGCCUCUCUGCUGGGACAACAGGAGCUGAGGAGGCCCUUGGCCACUCUGGCAGGCGUGUACCAAGAUGUGAAGGGCCAGAGACUUGAGGCGCUGUGGAGGGAAGCUGUUUCGUUGUGGACAGACAGGCUGCUGCAGGUCCUACAUGUGCUGUUAGAGAAGCGUCAGCUGAGGUCGCUGGCUCAGGCCAGUGUCUCCACGCUCAGAGUUGCCCUGGAUGUGGUGAAAAAAGCUUUUUCUUUUGCGUUAGACUAUUAUACCUUUAUACUAUUAUACCAUUAUAUUACAUUUCGCUUUGCCCAAUUUAAAGCAUUCUGUAAACAUGUUUACAUGUUGUGUCAAUGAGUGUGUUUACUAGUAUCCCAGCUAUGAUUGGGUUUUUGAAGUAACCUGUUUAUGUUUUCUGCUGUAAAUAUCCAGGUUUCAAAAACUCGGAUGAGCUGUUUUCCUGGUUUUGAUAAACAUGGAUAUGCUAGAAACUGAUGUGCUAAAUCCUCUCAAGUUAUGUAGUAAAACUAGUUAUAAAGAAAGAAGAAGAAAGUCCACUUUAUUAAUCCUGCAAGGGAAAUUCACUUUUUUGUUUAUACAGUAUUCACACACACACACACACACACACACACACACACACACACACACACACACACACACACACACACACACACACACACACACAGGGCUAAAUAGAGUGCUGUAGGGAUGAUGUAUUUUUGUAAGACUUUAACAUACCCCUUGUUCCCUCAACAAAAAGCCAAUGAGAUUUUUCCAUCUCCAAAAAAACUCAUUUCUGCAGCACAGGUAUUAUGUGGGUUAUGUGAGAUGUCAGAGCAAGGAAGCUGUCUCCCAGGAUGGCGCCCCGAGACGUUGGGGGUUCGGUGCAUUGCUCAAAGACAACCCGGCAGUGCCAAGAGGCAAACUGGCAUCUCUCCAGCUACCAGUCCACAGGUCCAGGCAGGGACUUGAACCAACGCCACUCCUGUUCCCAAACCAAGUUCCUAUGGACCAAGUUUAUGCCGCAUACCUGAUCCCCACCAUAUGAUGAUAAACUUGUGAAAUGUAAUGAUGACCAACAUGCUAAAAUAAAAGUGAAAGUCUGACUUUGGGAAUGCAGAGUACAGAGAGGGGCUAAAUCCAGUAAUGUUGAAGUAACUCAGUCAGACAAGACAAAUCCAGGAUAAGACUCAAAACAGCAUACUAAUACGCAUGCAAACACACACACAAACGGAAUGUGUAUUAAUGGUGGGUGUUCUGUGAUCCAGGCAGGACAGCAUACCUACCACUGGGUGGAGACCAGGUUGGCAAUGGCUCUGUCUGGGGUCAGGAAACGACUGGCCUCUGUCUACAAACUCUCCCCCAGGUACUGCACAUGUCUGACACAUACAUGAAGAAAAGCUCUCUGCACCACAUUUUUCAUUCUUACAUUCCUUUCAUACAGUUACGUAAAGUGGUCAGUG
ensembl:lncRNA